UCACAGUAGAAAAUAAAGCUAAAGCUGAAGCAGAACAGAGACUUCAAAGCUUUGAAACAUGUCUCCAGGGCUUCUAAGAAGCUUUCCAUCGAUCUUGCAAUGUGAAUUGUCAGGGCGAGAGGAUCAAAUGAUCACGGCAGACUUGGACGAAACU